CGAAGCGGCCCUUUGCUUCCUGGUGAGGCCUGAGUCGGCAGGAAUUUCACUUUGCACCAGCUUCAAAUGGCAGACUGGCGUGUGCGGGGUAGAGGGGCUGGAAGGCAUGGUCACACUGAGAAGCCGUGCGGCUUGUGUGAGCUCCGUAGCUUUCCACCUUGGUUCGGGUCCACGAGUACCCACUUGUGGACACUGGGGUUUAUGAGAAGGGCGAGAGGAAUUUUCAUGACUUAGGAGGCUGGUCAGUCUGUGAAGCCUGGUAGACUCAGUUUCCCCAAGAAGGCCAUACAACGUGAAAACCUUGACUUAUACAGCAUGUAUCCCAUGGAGCAACUCAACCAGACCUUGUCAACGACCACCAUUCAUAAAAGAAGCUGGAGUCUUUGUUUCCCCACAAAAAUAAAAGCCAGAGCGGGAA